GUUAACUAGAGGUACAGAAAUACAAAAGGACAGGAUUUCUUUUGCACAAGGAAACAUGUCAUUUCCCUUGCUUCCCACUGGCAGCCAUGUUGAUGGAUGGAAUCAGCCUCAGGAUGAAGACGACCCAGAGGAUAACUAAGUGGGAAGUGGCCUGAGUAAUAAACCAAGAGACAACAACAGUACAAGGACAAUGAAAACCAGUUCCAUGUUUAAGGAUGCUUGGGGGAAAACCGGGUUAAACAAAGCUCUGACGCUGUCUCAUGAAUGAACCUUUGUCCUUCUCUGGCUGUUGUUUGGUGUGGACACUUGCAGCAUGGAGCUUUGUAACCAGAUAGAGAAAGUUUAGUGAUCAUGAAGAUUACCGCUAAUCGACAGGCUAGAGUCUGACAACACUGACAGAGAACAAAAGACAGCAUAGCUGUUGUGGUUUCUAGUUGGGAGAACACAAUACAAAAUUGUAGC
rnacentral:lncRNA from 1 species